rnacentral:rRNA from 1 species
CCUACGGGCGGCAGCAGUGGGGAAUAUUGCACAAUGGGGGAAACCCUGAUGCAGCAACGCCGCGUGAGUGAAGAAGUAUUUCGGUAUGUAAAGCUCUAUCAGCAGGGAAGAAGAAAGCCGGUACCGUACUACGACGCCCCGGCUAAAUACGUACCAGCAGCCCCGGUACUACGUAGGGGGCAAGGGUUAUCCGGAUUUACUGGGUGUAAAGGGAGCGUAGACGGCUGUGCAAGUCUGAAGUGAAAGCCCGUGGCUCAACCGCGGAACUGCUUUGGAAACUGUGUAGCUUGAGUACUGGAGAGGCAGGCGGAAUGCCUAGUGUAGCGGUGAAAUGCGUAGAUAUUAGGAGGAACACCAGUGGCGAAGGCGGCCUGCUGGACAGAAACUGACGUUGAGGCUCGAAAGCGUGGGGAGCAAACAGGAUUAGAUACCCGUGUAGUC